rnacentral:rRNA from 1 species
UUUAAAAAAAUACGCCGUCUGGGAGCUUUACCAGGACUCACUAGAAAAACACCUAAAUCAGGUAAUCUUAAAAAUAAAUUCAUUUCUGGGAAAAAGGAGCAAUAUCGUAUUCGUGUUCAAGAAAAACAGAAAUUGCGUUUUCAUUAUGGUCUGACAGAACGACAAUUACUUAGAUAUGUACAUAUCGCUGGAAAAGCAAAAAGGUCAACAGGCCAGGUUUUACUACAAUUACUUGAAAUGCGUUUGGAUAAUAUCCUUUUUCGAGGUAUGGCUUCAACCAUUCCUGGGGCCCGCCAAUUAGUCAACCAUAGACAUAUUUUAGUUAAUGGUCGUAUAGUCAAUAUACCAAGUUUUCGUUGCAAACCCCGAGAUAUUAUUACUACGAAAGAUAGCCAAAGAUCAAAAGGUCUGGUUCAAAAUUAUAUUGCUUCAUCGGACCCGGGGAAAUUGCCAAAGCAUUUGGCGAUUGACACGUUGGAAUAUAAAGGACUAGUAAAUAAAAUCCUAGAUAGGAAGUGGGUCGGUCUCAAAAUAAAUGAGUUGUUAGUUGUAGAAUAUUACUCUCGUCAGACUUGA